rnacentral:rRNA from 1 species
UACGUAGGUGACUAGCGUUGUCCGGAUUUACUGGGCGUAAAGAGCGCGCAGGCGGUCGUUCAAGUCGAGUGUGAAAGCCCCCGGCUCAACUGGGGAGGGUCAUUCGAUACUGAUCGACUCGAAGGCAGGAGAGGGAAGCGGAAUUCCCGGUGUAGUGGUGAAAUGCGUAGAUAUCGGGAGGAACACCAGUGGCGAAGGCGACUCACUGGCCCGAUACUGACGCUGAGGCGCGAAAGCGUGGGGAGCAAACAGG